rnacentral:lncRNA from 1 species
CUAUCUAAAGUUAUAGCAACUGAACCAGGAAGACAGUUUUAUAGCUAGAAAUUUCUGUUACAGGCAUCCAAUUGUUAGAAAAGUUCCUGUGCAGAAACCAUGUGUGUGUUGUGGGCCUACAACCAUGGCAGCUAUUCAAAUAUUAAAGAGUGGGACAAAGCAGAAGCCUAGCAGUCUGAAGCAGAUAAAAAAUAAGGAUGGACAAUAUGUUGGAAAGACAUUUACAUAAGCAGUGAGCAGUAGUGAACAGCAAAAACCAGUCUGAAGAUUUAGUGAAUAACUGCUUAUUUCAAAGACUCAGCAAAUGUCAAGCAACAACAAAAAAAAGUACAUUCUAUCCAGCAACCUUGAACAUGGAUCUGUGAAGAAAUUCUGUGGGUCCUACUGGAGUCUUGUGAGACCAGUGAUGGAAGCUGAUCUUCCUUGCUAAUGGAAAUUGCGUUUUUGCCACACACUAUUUCUCUUCUGCAGAAUCUAAGGGGUCUUCCUGGCAUCCCAUAAUUCUGUGCACCAUCUUUAUGAUUCCCAUGCUUCAGGAGACACUGUAGUCUUUCAGCAACGGUAAGCUUUGCUCUCUCCUUGCAUUGCCACUAUGUUAUAUCAAUAAAAUGCCAU